UUAGUAUUGUGUUUUGUGUAAGAGGUGAGAGCGGUGAGACACAUCAGACAUGAGGAAUUGAGAAGAUUGAAGACUGCUCCUUGUGAAUGACUUUGCCUUAUUCAAAGCUUUCGAGAUUGGAGAUAGAGUUUGGACUGGAGUUUGAAUUUUGGUAUCAGAUUAUGUUUGUUAUCAGAUUGUGAGAAUGAGACGUAUGUUUGAAAGUUGAAACUUUUGUUUGCUUGUAAUUUGCUUGAAUGAUAAUGCUUGUACAAUUCUUUGGAUGUUUAUGUUUUCAUGUUUUUUUCUACGAUUUUUGGUUAUGUUAAAAAUUUUGGUUCUUUUGGUUACUUUUUUGUUUUUUUAUCGGAAAAAUGUAAAAAGUCAUUCGUUUUUUUGGUUUUCCAGUUUUUUUUUGGAUUUCGGUUUGCUUAUUAUACUACAAACUGAACCAAAUAGGAAGCAAAUAGAAACUGAAACUGUUUUGGUUUUUGCCAGUUUUCCACUAUCAAUACUUGAACCGAUCCAAGAAACAAAUUAACCGAACAGAUCCAAACUGAAAAUAGGAUGGUUUCUAAAUGGAUCAUAAAAAUCUAGAACCAAAAAAUCGAAGAACCGAAAGAACAAAACUGGAACCAAAUCGAGAACCGAAUAUCCAUAGCUAGUAUGGAUAGCAAAGAGGCUCCUACGGAUAAGCCAAGUGUUUGUGGAACUAGAGCAUAUCAUAUUUAGAGGGUUCUGGUCAGGUUUAGGCCUUUGUAGCUUCAUGGUGAGCAAAUAGAUAAGUUAUGGGCCAUCUUUUUUAUAAGACCAACUUUGGGCUAAUCUCCUUCGAUCAAAGUGAUUAUUUUUGGUUUCUUGGUCGAUGAAUAUCGAGUUGUUGCUCCGUUUAUGGUUCCUUUUGGUUGAGUUUGUUCUCCAUGACCGUUUUCUUCGGUUCUUUUGGUUGGGCGAGGGCUUCAAGUCAAAACUGAUGUCCUCAUCAGACCCUCUCAUCAAAUGCAACAACGCUAGGGUAAUCUAAUUCGGGCGAGACCACAUCCUGAACGAUUUUUCAUAUGCAAUAUGACUGAAUAUUUCACAAAAAUCCUUAUCUUUAACCUCUUUAUCUGGUAUGUUUUUAAUUUCAUUUUUGAAUACAUAUUUAUUUCCUUAUUCUAGGUCAAAUAUAGAUAAGAGUUCUCUCUGAUUCAACAUAUACAUAAAGAUGCGAUUUCCAUUUUUAUCUAACAAAAUUUCUCCAAAAAAGGAAUGUUUAUGUUAAAUAAAUGAUGUAAGAGCACCUCCAUGGAGGUUAUUAAAGGAGGCUCUUAAAAAAAAAAAAAAAAAAUAAAUCAAAAAGGAGAUGAAAAAAAGAGAACUGGUGCUUAAUAUAGCAGUUUAAGAAUUGUUCUUUUGAUAUUGGCUAUUUCCUUUUAGACAAAAAGGGUUAAAAAUUUAUCCUUCUCUCUCUUCGAUGUUUUUUUUUUCUGAGAAAUCUCUUCGUCGAUCCGCGAUGGCUGCUAUGUGCUCCUCCAAAUCCGUCCAUGAAAUCCACCGUGAAGGAGUUUGCUUUCAGAUAGGUAAGCUCGGGAAGAAAGCUAGAAAAUUUGCCAAGAAGAAUCUUCAGACUGUUGAGAAGAAGAACAUGAAGCAAAAGCCCUUUCUCAAACGCAAAUUUGCUAAAAGAAAAUGACGUUGGAUCAGAGCCAGGAGCUGAAGCCUUUGGUGAUCACCAAGUCGCUUGUGGCUAAGGACGAGGAUGUGGAUUUGGGAUCUGGGAUGAGUAGAGUCUCUAUCUUCUUUGGUACUCAGACUGAACCGCUGAAGGGUUUGCUAAGCUAGAAGCAAGCGAAUCAAGAUCAUUGUUGCUAGCGGUAUCAACCUCUGCGUGUUUAUAAUCUUAGUGCUUGCAGCAUUUGUGUGUUGGAGAUACAGAUUCAAACAAAAUGGUGAGACUCUUUUGUCUCUCUUUUGUUGUCUAUUCAUAGGUAGAUGUAUGGCCAAUUCUUAGAUGUGUUUCCACGUUUUCUUUAUAAGUUAAAACUAUGACUAUAAGCUAAGAACAACCACAUUGUGCUUCUCUCUUAUUUUUUUCCGCAGUUUAAAGAUUUUGUUUCUCUUACCA